AACGAACGCUGGCGGCAGGCCUAACACAUGCAAGUCGAACGAUCCUUCGGGAUAGUGGCGGACGGGUGAGGAACACGUGGGAACCUACCUAUCGGUACGGAAUAACAGAGGGAAACUUCUGCUAAUACCGUAUACGUCCUUUUGGGAGAAAGUUUUUCGCCGAUAGAUGGGCCCGCGUUCGAUUUAGAUAGUUGGUGGGGUAACGGCCUACCAAGUCAACGAUCGAUAGCUGGUUUGAGAGGAUGAUCAGCCACACUGGGACUGAGACACGGCCCAGACUCCUACGGGAGGCAGCAGUGAGGGAUAUUGCACAAUGGGGGAAACCCUGAUGCAGCAAUGCCGCGUGAAGGAAGAAGGUUUUUCGGAUUGUAAACUUCUAUCAGCAGGGAAGAAAUGACUGUACCUGACUAAGAAGCCCCGGCUAACUACGUGCCAGCCG
rnacentral:rRNA from 1 species